GACAGAGGGGGCAAGCGUUGCUCGGAAUUACUGGGCGUAAAGGGCGCGUAGGCGGCCUCUGCAAGUCGACUGUGAAAUCUCCGGGCUUAACCCGGAACGGUCAGCCGAUACUGCAGGGCUAGAGUGCAGAAGGGGCAACUGGAAUUCUCGGUGUAGCGGUGAAAUGCGUAGAUAUCGAGAGGAACACCUGCGGCGAAGGCGGGUGCUGGGCUGACACGUGACGCUGAGGCGCGAAAGCUAGGGGAGCGAACGGG
rnacentral:rRNA from 1 species